CCCAAAGGACUUGGCGGUGCCUCACACCCACCUAGAGGAGCCUGUUCUUGAAUCGAUAAUCCCCGUUCAACCUCACCACCCCUUGUUUGACCCGCCUAUAUACCGCCGUCGUCAGCUCACCCUGUGAAGGACUCAAAGUGAGCAAAAUGGGUAUAACCCAAAACGUCAGGUCAAGGUGCAGCGUAUGAGGUGGGAAGAAAUGGGCUACAUUACCUAUCCCAGGUUAUUACGAAAGAGGUUGUGAAACCAACCCCUGAAGGUGGAUUUAGCAGUAAGGAGAAAAUAGAGAGUUCUCCUGAAGCCGGCUCUGAGGCGCGCACACACCGC
rnacentral:rRNA from 1 species